rnacentral:rRNA from 1 species
GACGAACGCAGGCGGCGUGCUUAACACAUGCAAGUCGAACGAAGAGCGAUGGAAGCUUGCUUCUAUCAAUCUUAGUGGCGAACGGGUGAGUAACGCGUAAUCAACCUGCCCUUCAGAGGGGGACAACAGUUGGAAACGACUGCUAAUACCGCAUACGAUCUGACCUCGGCAUCGAGGAUAGAUGAAAGGUGGCCUCUAUUUAUAAGCUAUCACUGAAGGAGGGGAUUGCGUCUGAUUAGCUAGUUGGAGGGGUAACGGCCCACCAAGGCGAUGAUCCGUAGCCGGUCUGAGAGGAUGAACGGCCACAUUGGGAAUGAGACACGGCCCAGACUCCUACGGGAGGCAGCAGUGGGGAAUCUUCCGCAAUGGACGAAAGUCUGACGGAGCAACGCCGCGUGAGUGAUGACGGCCUUCGGGUUGUAAAGCUCUGUUAAUCGGGACGAAAGGCCUUCUUGCGAAUAGUUAGAAGG